rnacentral:rRNA from 1 species
AUGUUCCUACGGGACGCAGCAGUAGGGAAUCUUCCACAAUGGGCGAAAGCCUGAUGGAGCAACGCCGCGUGGGUGAAAAAGGUCUUCGGAUCGUAAAACCCUGUUGCUAGAGAAGAAAGUGCGUGAGAGUAACUGUUCACGUUUCGACGGUAUCUAACCAGAAAGCCACGGCUAAAUACGUGCCAGCAGCCGCGGUAAUACGUAGGUGGCAAGCGUUAUUCGGAUUUAUUGGACGUAAAGGGAACGCAGGCGGUCUUUUAUGUCUUAUGUGAAA